rnacentral:misc_RNA from 1 species
GAUGAAGAACGUAGCGAAACGCGAUAUGUAAUGUGAAUUGCAGAAUUCAGUGAAUCAUCGAAUCUUUGAACGCACCUUGCACCCUUUGGCAUUCCGAAGGGUAUGCUCGUUUGAGUGUCAUUGUACUCUCACUCUCCCGAUGCCUUUGGAUCGGGAGUGGUGGAUUUGGGUGUUGCUGCUUUGCUGUGGCUCGCCUCAAAUGGAGUAGUGCAACUCUUGGUUGGACAUAGUACGGCGUGAUAAGUGUCUUCGCCGGCGCCUCAUUAUAGAGGGUGGCCGAUCGGGAGCUCUGUGCUUCAAACCGUCUUCGGACAACAUCUGACAACUUGACCUCAAAUCGAGUAGGACUACCCGCUGAACUUAAGCAUAUCAAUAAGCGGAGGA